GACGAACGCUGGCGGCGUGCCUAAUACAUGCAAGUCGAACGCAGUGGGGACGGUUGAGUAACCCGUGGGUAACCUCCCAUCAGAGGGGAUACCACUUGGAAACAGGUGCUAAACCCAUAGUGUUGGCUGGAAGCGCGGGGCAUUAGCUAGGUGGUGGGGUAACGGCUCACCAAGGCGACGAUCCAUAGCUGGCCGGAGAGGGUGAUCGGCCACAUGGGAACUGAGACACGGCCCAGACUCCUACGGGAGGCAGCAGUAGGGAAUCUUCGGCAAUGGGCGAAAGUCUGACCGAGCAAGGCCGCGUGAGUGAAGAAGGUUUUCGGAUCGGAAAGCUCUGUUGUUGGAGAGGCGGUAUCUAACCAGGAAGCCACGGCUAACUACGUGCCAGCAGCCGCGGUAAUAC
rnacentral:rRNA from 1 species